AGCUAGUUGGUGGGGUAAUGGCCUACCAAGGCGACGAUCUUUAGCUGGUCUGAGAGGAUGAUCAGCCACACUGGGACUGAGACACGGCCCAGACUCCUACGGGAGGCAGCAGUGGGGAAUAUUGGACAAUGGGCGCAAGCCUGAUCCAGCCAUGCCGCGUGAGUGAUGAAGGCCUUAGGGUUGUAAAGCUCUUUCAGUGGGGAAGAUAAUGACGGUACCCACAGAAAAAGCACCGGCUAACUACGUGCCAGCAGCCGCGGUAAUACGUAGGGUGCAAGCGUUAUCCGGAAUUAUUGGGCGUAAAGAGCUCGUAGGCGGUUUGUCGCGUCUGCUGUGAAAACUGGAGGCUCAACCUCCAGCCUGCAGUGGGUACGGGCAGACUAGAGUGCGGUAGGGGAGAUUGGAAUUCCUGGUGUAGCGGUGGAAUGCGCAGAUAUCAGGAGGAACACCGAUGGCGAAGGCAGAUCUCUGGGCCGUAACUGACGCUGAGGAGCGAAAGCAUGGGGAGCGAACAGGAUUAGAUACCCUGGUAGUCCAUGCCGUAAACGUUGGGAACUAGAUGUAGGGACCAUUCCACGGUUUCUGUGUCGCAGCUAACGCAUUAAGUUCCCCGCCUGGGGAGUACGGCCGCAAGGCUAAAACUCAAAGGAAUUGACG
rnacentral:rRNA from 1 species